rnacentral:rRNA from 1 species
UUCCGGUUGAUCCCGCCGGACCUGACUGCUAUCGGAUUGAUACUAAGCCAUGCGAGUCUUUGCAGUAAUGCAAGGCAUACGGCUCAGUAACACGUAGUCAACUUACCCUAUGGACGAGGAUAAUCUCGGGAAACUGAGCAUAAUACUCGAUAGAUCAUAAUGCCUGGAAUGGUUUAUGGUUAAAAUGAUUCGUCGCCAUAGGAUGGGACUGCGGCCUAUCAGCUUGUUGGUGAGGUAAUGGCCCACCAAGGCGAUUACAGGUACGGGCUCUGAGAGGAGAAGCCCGGAGAUGGGUACUGAGACAAGGACCCAGGCCCUAUGGGGCGCAGCAGGCGAGAAAACUUUGCAAUGUGCGAAAGCACGACAAGGUUAAUCCGAGUGAUUUCUGCUAAAGAAAUCUUUUGCAAGUCAUAAAACCACUAGUGAAUAAGGGGUGGGCAAGUUCUGGUGUCAGCCGCCGCGGUAAAACCAGCACCUCAAGUGGUCAGGAGGAUUAUUGGGCCUAAAGCAUCCGUAGCCGGCUCUGUAAGUUUUCGGUUAAAUCCAUGUGCUCAACGCAUGGGCUGCCGAAAAUACUGCAUAGCUAGGGAGUGGGAGAGGUAGACGGUACUCAGUAGGAAGGGGUAAAAUCCUUUGAUCUAUUGAUGACCGCCUGUGGCGAAGGCGGUCUACCAGAACACGUUCGACGGUGAGGGAUGAAAGCUGGGGGAACAAGCCGGAUUAGAUACCCGGGUAGUCCCAGCUGUAAACGAUGCAGACUCGAUGAUGCAUUGGCAUAUAGCCAGUGCAGUGUCGCAGGGAAGCCGUUAAGUCUGCCGCCUGGGAAGUACGUACGCAAGUAUGAAACUUAAAGGAAUUGGCGGGGGAGCACCACAAGGGGUGAAGCCUGCGGUUCAAUUGGAGUCAACGCCGGA